UGUCGAAUUACGGGCACUGUAACCAGGGUUUGGAUUUUGAAGUAGUGGGUGUUCGACUUUAGAGUUGUUUUCCUGGAAGCGCUGAUACUGGACUUAGUGGAGGAGAACGAUGGUAUCAAUGUGUUUCUGGAUGACUGCCUGGACAAGGGAGUUCAGCUUUUGGGAGAUUGACUGGGCUAUGAAGUGUACCUUUCUACUCUGCAGAGGCUGGAAAGGCAAAAAUGAUGGCUAAGGCUUCCUUGCAGGAGAGGCUGCCCCUCCAGAACUAGACUCUUCCUUGGCUUUAAGAUGUGAAGUCGAGCAGCUGGAAGGACAGACACCUCAUCUGACCACUGUUCUAUGGACCAAAGGCAGGAUGAGCAUGCCGCUGAUACAGAAGCCUGAGGGAACACACUCCCCCUACGUCCUUCUCCAACACAGCAGAGCCAGGAAGGACCCGGAUGGAAGUUAGGACAAAGAGGCCCAGAAUUGGCACAGAUACCAACAGACCAUUCGUUGAAGAAGAAAUCCAAAUGGCCAUAAGAACCCCAGAGAUGAAAGGCCUCCUCCCACUGGCUUGGUUCCUGGCUUGUAGUGUGCCUACUGUGCAAGGAGGCUUGCUGGACCUAAAAUCAAUGAUCGAGAAGGUGACAGGGAAGAACGCCCUGACAAACUACGGCUUCUACGGCUGUUACUGCGGCUGGGGCGGCCGAGGAACCCCCAAGGAUGGCACCGAUUGGUGCUGUUGGGCGCAUGACCACUGCUAUGGGCGGCUGGAGGAGAAGGGCUGCAACAUUCGCACACAGUCCUACAAAUACAGAUUCGCGUGGGGCGUGGUCACCUGCG
rnacentral:sRNA from 1 species